GAUGAACGCUGGCGGCGUGCCUAAUACAUGCAAGUCGAGCGAACGGACGAGAAGCUUGCUUCUCUGAUGUUAGCGGCGGACGGGUGAGUAACACGUGGAUAACCUACCUAUAAGACUGGGAUAACUUCGGGAAACCGGAGCUAAUACCGGAUAAUAUUUUGAACCGCAUGGUUCAAAAGUGAAAGACGGUCUUGCUGUCACUUAUAGAUGGAUCCGCGCUGCAUUAGCUAGUUGGUAAGGUAACGGCUUACCAAGGCAACGAUGCAUAGCCGACCUGAGAGGGUGAUCGGCCACACUGGAACUGAGACACGGUCCAGACUCCUACGGGAGGCAGCAGUAGGGAAUCUUCCGCAAUGGGCGAAAGCCUGACGGAGCAACGCCGCGUGAGUGAUGAAGGUCUUCGGAUCGUAAAACUCUGUUAUUAGGGAAGAACAUAUGUAUAAGUAACUGUGCACAUCUUGACGGUACCUAAUCAGAAAGCCACGGCUAACUACGUG
rnacentral:rRNA from 1 species